UAACCUACAUUUGUAUACCAAGAAAUUUCAACAAUUAAAUCAAGAAUGAAAGAGCAAAAUAAAAAGAAAAUAAAAGUUUCCAUAGAAAGAAAANAAAAAGAAAAAGAUGCAUGGACACAAUGGUAUUUGUAAUGUCAAGAUGAAACAGCAAAAAGGUUUAUAGGUAAUAGAUAAAUAUUACAUAAAUGAAGCAACGUUAGACACAUCAACUAACUUUAAUUACCACAGGGCAACAUAAA
rnacentral:lncRNA from 1 species